AUGAGUGCCUGGUAAGGACAGCCGAGAAUGCCCAGGCUCAGCCUGGAGAAGGCCCUGAGCGCGGUGCUCAGCGUGCGGGGCUGGCAGCUGUGCCGCUGCCCGCUGCUGCACGCAGAGGCCGCGCGGGCUCUUCUCCAGGCUCCUGCGGGCCCGAGCCGGGUGCCCACGGAGCCCCGGCCCGGCGGCGCUGCGGGGCGGCCCCGCGGCUCCCCGGGCAGCAGCCGGCGCUCUGCCCCCUGCGGAGCCCGGCGCCAGCGGCUGCUGGCCGCGCCUCAGGGCUGCGCGGGCAGGGGAGGCCGGGGCUGCGCGCAGCGAGCGCCCGGCCCGGGGGCUGAGCCCGCGCCAAGCCUCCCCUGCUGCCGCUCUCUGCAGCUGGCAGAGGACAGGAGCCGAGCGGCCGACCACAUGCACUGGGCCCUGCGGUUCCUGGAGAGCCCACACGAACCCCUGCGAGAGGCGGCCAUCAGGAUCAUGGGUGAGCCCCGAGCCCGGGCUCCCUCCCCGCCCCGCCUGCAGCCCCGGCAGCGCCGGCCGGGCCCGGCGCCGUGGAGCCCCGCCCGGGCUCGGCGCUGCUGCCGCCCUCUGGCAGCCGUGCCCUGGGCCGGCAGCGUGCGGCAAGGGCCCGGGCUGAGCCCUGCCGGGCCAGCAGGGCGUGUGGCCACAGCGCCGGCAGCGCCGCCGGCAGGGAGCUGUGCCGCUGGGCAGUGACAGGCUCUGUGUUCGCAGGGAUGGCCGGGCGGCACCUGAGGUGCAAGAGGGAAGAGCCCCAGGACCACAGUCAGGCCAUUUAAGUCCCAAGGAAAGACACUAGUCCAUCCCUCUGUAACCUGAAUAUUCACGCCCAAUUUGCCAGAAGAGCUGAAGAAUUAGGUGCAUCUUCAGGAUCCAGUGCAUCAGUGACCUAAGAACAGGACCAGCAGACACUGAAGAAGACGCCAUCUCCCAGUGCCACUGGAGCUCCAGGCACAGCUGAUGAUUGGCACAGCUGAGCCAGAAGGAACCUCCCAUAGCUCCUGCCUUCGCCCUGCCUGUAGAUAGCUCUUUCCCUCCAGCCCUCAGACCCUGCCCAUGCCCGUUUCUUACCUCCCGGCUGAUCCCUUUGUUUCACCUUCCAUUAAUAAACAGUUUGGCUUCUUCACUUUGCCUGCAUCUCUGUGGAGCGGAAGCGGCGCAAAUCCGGGGCCCUGGGACACACAGGCCCCUGCUGCCGUUCCCUCGCACGCCGUGCUUUGUGCACAGGCACAGAGGAAGGAGGGCAGCUCAGGCUGGAAAGGUCCCUGUGCUGAAGGUGCAGUUCCACAGCACUGUGCAGUUCCAGGCCUUGCAGAGCACACUGAAGGCCAGCAGUGGGACAAGGAGCCUGGGUGUCAGGGCUGAAGUCGUGUCUAAGGCCCUGCCAUAUUUGCUCCGCUGUUGUGCACAAGAUAAUGAAUUCAACAAGAUUAUGAAUAAAACCAGGUUCAAAAACUCUCCCGGAAAGGGAAGGUCCCGAUUUUAGCAGCUUUUUCCACCUCCACAUUGCAGGAAUUCACAGGUCUGUUUGAUUGGGAAUGUUCAUCCCAAAGUUUCUGCCCAUUUCUGCCCAUUCUGCCAGUCUAGGAACACUCGAAUGACAGU